AUAAAGGCAGGCAGCUGCCUCCCUAACAGCACAGCUGUGUUUGGCUGCAGGGCUAAGGACACUGUCAAGAGACACACCACUCUCCAGCAGCAACAGAAUCACCACCAUCUGCAGCAGCAGCUGGACAAACCACCAUUCACAAGGCACUUUGAGAACUUCAGGAUGAAAGUGUCUCCAGUCUUUGCCUGCCUAGCUCUGGGCCUGGCCUUCAUCCUUGGUAAAGGAUCUGCCUCAGACCAUCGUCAGCUUGAGGCGGCCCAAAUGGUCACAGAUUUUGGAAUGAAGGUGUUUCAGCAGGUGGCCGAGGCCUCCAAGGACAGUAAUGUGAUUUUCUCACCUUAUGGGGUGGCCUCAGUCCUUGCCAUGCUGCAGCUAACAACCAGAGGAGAAACCAGGCAGCAGAUCCAAGCAGCAAUGCAAUUCGAUAUUGAAGAGAAGGGUAUGGCCCCUGCCCUUCGUCAACUGUACAAGGAACUCAUGGGGCCAUGGAACAAGGAUGAGAUCAGCAUCGCCGAUGCCAUCUUCGUCCAGCGGGAUCUGAAGCUGGUUCAAGGUUUCAUGCCUCACUUCUUCAGGCUGUUCCGCACCACAGUCAAGCAGGUGGACUUUUCAGAGAUUGAGAGAGCCAGGUUCAUCAUCAAUGACUGGGUGAAGAGACACACAAAAGGCAUGAUUAGUGACUUACUUGGUGAAGGGGCCGUGGACAGUCUGACACGCCUGGUACUAGUGAAUGCCCUGUACUUCAAUGGCCACUGGAAGACACCCUUCCCAGAGUUGGGCACCCACCACCGCCUCUUCCACAAGUCCGAUGGCAGCACUGUCUCGGUGCCCAUGAUGACUCAGACCAGCAAGUUCAACUACACUGAGUUUUCCACCCCUGAUGGCCAUUACUACGACAUCUUGGAGUUGCCCUACCAUGGGGACACUCUCAGCAUGUUCAUUGCUGCUCCCUAUGAAAAAGAGGUGCCUCUCUCAGCCCUCACCAACAUUCUGGAUGCCCAGCUCAUCAGCCAGUGGAAAGGAAAUAUGACCCGUCUGCCCCGCCUCCUGAUUCUGCCCAAGUUCUCCCUGGAGAGUGAAGUUGACCUCAGGAGGCCCUUGGAGAACUUGGGGAUGACCAACAUCUUUAGUCCAAGCCAGGCGGACUUCUCGAAUUUUUUCAGAUCAAGAGCCUCUUUACGUAUCGCAGGCACUGCAAAAAGUGAAGAUCAAGGUGAAUGAAAGAGGCACGGAGGCAUCCUCCUCUACAGCCAUUACCGUUUCAGCCCGAAUGGCCCCUGAGGAGAUCAUCAUGGACAGACCCUUCCUCUUUGUGGUGCGGCACAACCCCACAGGAACGGUCCUUUUCAUGGGCCAAGUGAUGGAACCCUGACCAUGAAAAAAGAAGUUCUCAACUGGGACAGAACUGGAGAUGUAUCAGAGAAGAAGAAACUGCGAAGAAAAUAACUUUUAAUUAGCCUUUCUGGAGAAGAGAAGAUAUUCGCUUUUUUUUUUAAAUGGUAAAUCUGGCUUUUAGAACUCAGCCUCUCCAAGGGAGAAAAGGGGACCUUCCGAUAAAACCCCCCAGUAGAGACCCUGGCAGGGACUGCUGAAGCAUUGCUCCCCGGAGGUCUCCAAAUCCGACUGUAAAACUCUCAGAGCCACGUGUGCAGCUGCUUCUGCCCAUCACUCUGCCUUUUCGGGUCUUCAGAUCUGGAUCCCACUGAGGCCCUGGCAGAUGGCACCGCAAGGCUUACGGAGAAACUGUUCCAGUCACGUGGCCCUCACUCUUGCACUGUCUGCCACUGCUGAGGAGGCUGGCGUCAGGCCAGAGAAGACCAAUGGAAGAAACACCUUUCAUUGCAAGAUCCAUCCUUCUCCAGCACAGAGGGGCUGUGACCAGUUGCAGGGUCUCACCCUGGCCUGGCUGUCUCCCUCCCCAGAAACAGUGAGCAUCUAUUAUUUCUGAGUGUAGGUGACUUGUUUACUUAUAGAAGCAGGUUUCUGCUUCCCACAAACUUUAUUUUGCAGGAAUAGAGGAAGGUGUGCUCUAAUCUCCUAGUGGGGAGGGUAGGAUGACAGAGGUGUGCUUGAAUAUUUAUCACUUUCUUGUGUGCUUGUUAGAGAGAAAGAGGACUAUUUAACAAAAAAGCAUAUUAUUUAAACCUGCUUAGUGUUCCUUUGUGAUCUGUGUGAUUGCAUCUCAGGAGUCUGGUCUCUUAGCUGCCACACCCCUCUGGGCGGCGAGCGUGAGGGGCCCACACUGCCACCUUGUGGCUGCCCCGUCGCUCUUCUUUCCUUUCCUUUCCACUUGGUGGAUUAGGACUCCUGCCAAGAUUACCCAACUUCCCACUUUAGGGACCCAAAGGAUGUGGUGGGUGAGAGAGAUUAGAGUGAGGGCAGAGGGAUUUUAAAAUUUUCCAAUGCAUUUAGGAGCAGGAGUGCAAAGGGAUGCACGACCUAGCAGGACAGAACUUUCCCCCAAUUAUAGGGUGACUCACAGCUGCAUCGGUGACUCACUUCAGUGUGUCAUUUCCGGCUGCUGUGUGUGAGCGGUGGACACGUGAGAAAGGGAGAGAGAAAAUGAGGGGGAAUGAAAGAGAGACAGUGAAUUCAGGCUCAACUACCCCAGUUAGGUAAUUUUCCUGAAAACCAGCUAGCUAAGGGGGGUGGCAUGAAGACCAAUUUGUUGAAGAAUUGCACAUAGAUGUCAAAUGAAUGCAUCCUAAUAGAAUCCUCAUCAUCCCAAUGUGUUCUUCAGCAAAAAAUCUUGGUCCUUUGUUGUUGUUGUUUUCUUUCUUCAUUAUGCACUGGACAGUGAUAGCCACAACUAUACUCACAAGGAGACCCAAAUGUAGGGUCCAAUGUUUUUGAAAUUGUGUUGAAUUAUAUGCUUUUUCACUUAUGAUAUAUAAAAAGUAAAAAUGUUUUUUAAAACAAUAAAGUAAAUAAAGAAAAAGAAUAUUCCAAAAA